UUGCGCAUUUCAGCAGCAGAUAAACUAAAACAGGAAUGCUUCAAAGAAGAUUAACAUGGAUACUGAGCAAAGAUAAUAUGCAAAUUGGUCAGGUGCUCAAUUAAGGU
rnacentral:snRNA from 1 species